CUACCUACUGUUGCUUCGGCGGGAUUGCCCCGGGCGCCUCGUGUGCCCCGGAUCAGGCGCCCGCCUAGGAAACUUAACUCUUGUUUUAUUUUGGAAUCUUCUGAGUAGUUUUUACAAAUAAAUAAAAACUUUCAACAACGGAUCUCUUGGUUCUGGCAUCGAUGAAGAACGCAGCGAAAUGCGAUAAGUAAUGUGAAUUGCAGAAUUCAGUGAAUCAUCGAAUCUUUGAACGCACAUUGCGCCCGCCAGUAUUCUGGCGGGCAUGCCUGUCUGAGCGUCAUUUCAACCCUCAUGCCCCUAGGGCGUGGUGUUGGGGAUCGGCCAAAGCCCGCGAGGGACGGCCGGCCCCUAAAUCUAGUGGCGGACCCGUCGUGGCCUCCUCUGCGAAGUAGUGAUAUUCCGCAUCGGAGAGCGAUGAGCCCCUGCCGUUAAACCCCCAACUUUCCAAGGUUGACCUCAGAUCAGGUAGGAAUACCCGCUGAACUUAAGCAUAUCA
rnacentral:rRNA from 1 species